GCCGGAUUAGCUCAGUGGUUAGAGCGUCUGUCUUGUAAACAGAAGGUCGCAGGUUCGAUCCCCGCAUUCGGCA
rfam:Loa loa cont3.7088, whole genome shotgun sequence.